rnacentral:tRNA from 1 species
GAGGGUAUAGCCCAAGUGGUAGAGCACAUGCUUAGCAUGCAUGAGGUUCUGGUUUAAAUCCUCAGUACUUCCA